rnacentral:rRNA from 1 species
GACGAACACUGGCGGCGUGCUUAACACAUGCAAGUCGAACGAAGUGGCGAACGGGUGAGUAACGCGUAAUCAACCUGCCCUUCAGAGGGGGACAACAGUUGGAAACGACUGCUAAUACCGCAUACUGAAGGCGGGGAUUGCGUCUGAUUAGCUAGUUGGGGGGGUAACGGCCCCCCAAGGCGAGGAUCAGUAGCCGGGCUGGGAGGAGGAACGGCCAAAUUGGGACUGAGAAACGGCCCAGACUCCUACGGGAGGCAGCAGGGGGGAAUCUUCCGAAAUGGACGAAAGUCUGACGGAGCAACGCCGCGUGAGUGAUGACGGCCUUCGGGUUGUAAAGCUCUGUUAAUCGGGACGCGGUACCGGAAUAGAAAGCCACGGCUAACUACGUGCCAGCCGCCGCGGUAAUAC